rnacentral:tRNA from 1 species
GCCCGGGUGGUCUAGUGGUAUGAUUCUCGCUUAGGGUUCCAACCCAAGCAUAUCUGCGAGAGGUCCCGCGUUCGAUCCGCGGCUCGGGCC